GCGAUCACAGAGAGAAGAGAAGGGGGGAAAAAGAUAAAGAAAAAAACUAAUUACUACUAUUUUAGUUAGACAUACAGAGUAUUGGCGUGCUGAAUAUCGGCUUCAAUGAUUUUGAGAGAAUCCUUGAAAGACUUUCUCAUAGAUCCACCACCACCUACGUUGUACAUCUGUCCUUUUUCCUCUUCCUUGUCCGAAAAUUUGUUCCUCAGAAGAACCAAAUAAAACAAAAAACGGAUAGAAAGAUGAAUGAUUCACGACAAUUCUAAAAUUUUCCAAGAUAGAAAGUGUGCCUCCAUUAUUUAUACAUGCACUUUUUUAUGAAAGAAUAGCAAACCAUUAGAAUCACUUCGACAAUAAAAUAGGACUGAAUGUUUAUAAAAUCUUUAGUUGCUCACAUAACUUGGUGCCCUUAGAUGUUGUAUCCAAUCUCAUCACCUGAUAUUGUUGUUUUAAGAAAACUUGUUAUGCUUCUUGCAUUUGUACUUUGAAUUGAAACACCAUUAAUAAAACUUAUGGCUCCAAUUACUUAAAAUUUUCUGUGAGAUGCAACCUGUUUUUCUUCAAAGAGCAUAAUAAAAGACAAAAACAUCAAGUAACUUACAUAAAAGCCGACUCCUAAGAUUUAUUGGAGUUUUAUAACAAUGAUUAACCUUUAUCCAAAUUGAAAAUAGUAAACUCCCCUACUUACUGAAAGUCUCACCUUUCACAAUCUCACUUGAAACCAAGAUAUCCUCCUUAACUAAGCUCAGACUCCCCAACUUUACACUCACAUUAACAACUUACGCAGUUUGACUAACACAUAAGAUCAACCACUUUCCACAGAAAAUUUUCAACUGAACUACAACUUACUCGGCUAUCGGGAGAAAAUAAUGUUGCAUAAUAGUAAUUUUGUUAUUUACAAAUAUAUUACAAAUAUAGGCUCAUUUUAAUCAGAGUACUUCUAACUGCUAAAAGAUAUGUUUGAUUUUUUUCCCUUAAACUCCUAAAUCAAAGAUAUUAAAAACUGUAAUAUGAAGAUAUUAAAUCCCAAGCUUAAAAUUAAGUCAUAAUCUCCUAACAACUAUUGAGACAUGCACUGAUUAGGCAUCAAAAUAGAGCAUUGUAAUAUAUAAAUCAUAAUGUAAAGUGAGACAUCUUAAAUCAAUUUGAAUUCAUCUAAAUUGAAAUUAAAAACAUACAAAUUGGUUGCCCAUGAAGAGAUUUAAGGUGAUUCCUUCUGUUAAUCAUGAAACUCUCGUUCGGGUGAUUCGUUUGAUUAAUCGUGUAAAUCUCGUCCGGUGAUUCCUCCAGUUAAUCGUGCAAGUCGCAUCCUUGAUUUAUAAAUUUGUACGAUUUUUUCUCUAAAACUAUUGAAGGACGUAACAAAUUAGGGAUGUUGAAUGGUUUUCGAGUGAAUAGAUGGAUAAGAAGAGAUUGAGCGGCUUGAAUGUGGACAGAGGAAAGGAGCGGAAGGGCUGUGGAAAACCCCUCACCUUCCACCGCACUGCUGAAGACGUCUCCCGUAGCAGUAGGAAGCGCCUGGGGAUGGAUGAAAACUAUGUUCUUCCGGUCCUUCUCCGUGACUAAGAGAUCAAACCGACUGAUUGAUUAUUGAUGAAGAGAUGGGAUUUAUAUAGUAGGAGGAGAUGUAGAGAUGGGUAGAUGAUUGGGCAAUUAAGAAUUCCUUAGUCGAUUGACACUAAGAAGAGAGGAAGAGAUGAUUGGGAUUUAUAUAGGGAUGGAUCGUUGCUAAGGAUGAUUAAGAGGAAAAGGAAGAGAAAGAGAUUAGACCAACUCAGUAAAUAACUUAAAUUGAACGAAAUUGGUUCAAAUUGAUUAAGGGUCAACUCUAAAUUGGGAUUGCUUAGGAUCGUUUUUGCUACCUUUAUAUAUAAGUAUUGAUUAGAAUUGAAGCACAUUUGCAAUUCUAUGAAAUUAAAAUUUAGUUAAAAUUUGACGCUCAAUUUUAACUUCAAGAUCUGGGAUUGAGUUGCCAAACAACUUAAUAAAAGUAAAAGAACAAAAAAAUAAUCUCGGAUUGCUAUUUUUUUUGGCUAUAUUCAACUGAAUCCCAACACAUGCCUUAUGAAUAAUUUUUUUAUCAUUGAGCCAUGAUGGACUUGGUAUUACUGGUAUUUUCUUACAUACAUAGAUAUAUUCAGCCAUAUAAGUGGUGGAGAUCCUAAAAUUCAAGCAGGAAAGCAAAUGAUAUAGCUUUUGCUAUUAUACAUACAACAGCCCGAAAUGAGCAGAACUAAUUUAUCCGAAUAAUGCUACGGUGACAAAAGAUGGUUACAAAAUGAUAUGCCGAAUUAUAAUUAGUAGAUGUUCCACUAUGUAUAUAACCAAUAACCUAUUACUGCCAUCAAUAUUAUUUUGUACAUAAUCUUUUGUCACUAAAGUAUUAUUGUACUUUUAUAGAAAUUCAAG
rnacentral:lncRNA from 1 species